ACAGGUGAUGGCGGAGGGGGCCGGGCUGUGGCGCGGCUGCAGCUGGGGAUGACCGCGGCGAAGGCAGUGGCCCGCACCCGAGUAGUGAAAGUGUUCCCUUAUUCCGGCCCGGGGAGGGACCCCCCCGUCGGGCAAACACGGACCCUGCGGGAUGCCGCGUAGGCCGCGUCUGAUGAGAAAUGGAAAUCUGGCUCAAAGUCAUCCUUCCUGUUGUUGACAUCACCUGAAAACUCCGCUGGAAAUAUUUCCACUAGUUUGCUGCAAACAUCAGCCUCCCCUGAGAUCUCAACACCUUGAGCAGUGUACCAUACCGUGGUGCAGAGACUUGCAGCUGUCAUCAACACUAGGAAAUACUGAAGCUGGCAUCCCCACUGUCUUUCUCAGAGGUUGCCUUGCAGGACACAGCUGUAAAAUGUUCGUCACAAAAAACUGAAUGGUAGAUCCUUAAGAGUCCAGAGGAUGGCAUAGCAAUAACAUCACUGUCCAGGGAGCUGGAGUCCUCCCUCGCCGGGCUGCAUGCUGCUUGAGCUGAUCCCAAGCCUUUGUUUUUGGACUGAAGAAACCUGAAAACCUUUCUCUGCUAAUUCAUGAGCCAGCAGGAUGUGGUCGCCGUGCUUUCAGAACGCCUGCUUGUAGCCGCCUACAAAGGCCAAGUGGAGAAUGUGGUGCAGCUUAUCAACAGGGGUGCCAAGGUAGCGGUUACCAAGCAUGGCCGGACCCCCCUGCAUCUUGCUGCCCACAAGGGUCAUCUCCACGUUGUCCAGGUUUUGUUGAAGGCAGGUUGUGAUCUGGAUAUUCAGGAUGAUAUAUAUUCUCUAAAACAGUAAGAACCGUAAGAAUUAGUUGAAGAAUGACCUCCAGUGGCCUGGAGUGGGAUUAUUACGAAUUUCAGCCGGUGGAGUCCAGCUCUGUAGAGUACGCCACUCCGAGAGCUGACUCUUUCCUUCUCCCUGCCAAUACUGACAACUCUUACUGGGAUCCCAAUGCCAUCUCUGAAUGGUCAAUGAGUGUCCAUACAGCACACACCUCAGAAAUAGUCCAGGAGAAAGUUGUCCCGGUGAAGGAAAUCAAGGAUGAAAAAAAUAAGAGAAACCAGAAGAGAAAGGCUAG